rnacentral:rRNA from 1 species
CCUACGGGUGGCAGCAGUGAGGAAUAUUGGUCAAUGGACGAAAGUCUGAACCAGCCAAGUCGCGUGAAGGAAGACUGCCCUAUGGGUUGUAAACUUCUUUUGUACGAGAGUAAACUGUAAUACGUGUAGUCUUCUGAAAGUACCAUACGAAUAAGGAUCGGCUAACUCCGUGCCCGCAGCCGCGGUAAUACGGAGGAUCCGAGCGUUAUCCGGAUUUAUUGGGUUUAAAGGGUGCGUAGGCGGAUUGUUAAGUUAGAGGUGAAAGGUUCGGGCUUAACCGUGGAAUUGCCGUUGAUACUGGUAGUCUAGAGAAGAGUUGAGGUAGGCGGAAUGCGUGGUGUAGCGGUGAAAUGCUUAGAGAUCAUACAGAACUCCGAUUGCGAAGGCAGUUCACUAAACUGUAUCUGACACUGAGGCACGAAAGCGUGGGUAGCAAACAGGAUUAGAUACCCCAGUAGUC